AGCAUAUGAAUUUAGCUAUAGGGGUUGAGGCAGCACGGCCUCAAAAAACAUGAAAGGCAACCCAAAAAAAAAAAAAACGACAAAUAAAAAAUUAUAGAAAAUUGAUACUUCUAUUCCUCACUCAAAAGCAAGACACUAACGAGCUGCAAAACUCAGCACAUUUCUUACUCACGUUCCGUAUUCGUCUAAUAGUCAAAAAAAAGUCAAAUGAUUGACUUUUAAAAAUAAUGUUACUUCUUUUCCGCCAAAUCAUUCACCAAUUGGUUGCGAUCCUGAUUAGAUCCCUCACCACUGCCCCUUGGAGGCGGUUCCCAGCCAGAAGCUCCCAAACACUCCU
rnacentral:lncRNA from 1 species